UAAGACGAACCGUGCGAACGUUGUUCGGAAUCACUGGGCUUAAAGGGCGCGUAGGCGGGCUCACAAGUCAGGGGUGAAAUCCCACGGCUCAACCGUGGAAGUGCCUUUGAUACUGUGGGUCUUGAGGGAGGUAGGGGCGUGCGGAACUUCCGGUGGAGCGGUGAAAUGCGUAGAUAUCGGAAGGAACACCGGUGGCGAAAGCGGCGCGCUGGACCUCUUCUGACGCUGAGGCGCGAAAGCCAGGGGAGCAAACGGGAUUAGAUACCCCGGUAGUCCUGGCCCUAAACGAUGGGUACUAGGUAGUGGACUUACAUGGGUUCACUGCCGAAGCAAAAGUGAUAAGUACCCCGCCUGGGGAGUAUGGUCGCAAGGCUG
rnacentral:rRNA from 1 species